GCGGUGGAUACACAACUGUGUGCGGCUGUGGAAGAUUGACUCAUCCGUUACGUUCCCAUUUCCGUGGAACAACAGUUUUACCAGAAGGUUUCGAAGGAACCUUAAAGUUUGGAAGCGUAACAGUUUAUCUGGCGGCUUUGGAGUCAUCAAAUGUGAGAAGCCCUGGACUUUACACAUCCCGAGCCAGUGUGAUCCAGUAUGAUUGGGAGUCCGAGUGCCAGAUGCCGGUCGGGACCUGUUAUGCUGGGUCUCAGAAUGCGGAAACUCUCCCUGUCCGAGGUGGAACAGUUUGUCCUUGAGUGAGGACCGGAGUCCUGAGUGACUCUUGAUUUGAUCCUGUUUCCCUCAAACCUGAGAUGGGAGCCUCACUGUAUUGCCCAGGCUGGUCUUGAACUCCGGAGCUCAAGUGAUCGUCUUGCUUCAGCCUUCCAAAAUGAUGGUGAAGCUGCAUCAUUGUCUGGGGUAAAUACCUGAGGUUCGUUGUCUCACGCCAAGGGAAUCAAGGACGUGGACACACAAGAAGACAUACAGCCCUGCCGAGCAAACAAUGAACGUAACUCACAAACUUCCUGCUUAUCAUCAAACGCACGCAUCCACUUAUCAUCAAACACCUCGGGUGACAGAAGAAUGCAGGUCAGCUCCCUGCUGCCUUGGCAUUAUCAAUCAGCCCAGGAACCAUCCUAUAAAAUCUCCAGCAAGCCUUUGUUUCUUGCAGUCAGCUCCUCUUCCACUGAUUCUGCCUGUUGCUCCCUGAUAACCUACUUUGAUACUGUCUUUAAUAAAUCUGCUUUUCUUCA